rnacentral:rRNA from 1 species
AAUGUAGUGCCUACAACGUUAAUGCAUUAGUUACAAUUAGAACUCUGUAGUUAAUCUCUCUUGGGAUAAAGUAGUACUGGUAUGGGUGACCUCUCGGGAAUUCCUAUCAUUUCACAUGC